rnacentral:rRNA from 1 species
CAACAGGGAUUGCCCUAGUAACGGCGAGUGAAGCGGCAACAGCUCAAAUUUGAAAUCUGGCUUCGGCCCGAGUUGUAAUUUGCAGAGGAUGUUUCUGGCGCGGUGCCUUCCGAGUUCCCUGGAACGGGACGCCACAGAGGGUGAGAGCCCCGUAUGGUUGGACACCAAGCCUGUGUGAAACUCCUUCGACGAGUCGAGUAGUUUGGGAAUGCUGCUCAAAAUGGGAGGUAAAUCUCUUCUAAAGCUAAAUACCGGCCAGAGACCGAUAGCGCACAAGUAGAGUGAUCGAAAGAUGAAAAGCACCUUGAAAAGGGGGUUAAACAGUACGUGAAAUUGUUGAAAGGGAAGCGCUUAUGACCAGACUUGUGCCGGGCGGUUCAUCCGGGGUUCUCCCCGGUGCACUCCGCCCGGUUCAGGCCAGCAUCGGUUCUCGUUGGGGGAUAAGAACGGCAGGAACGUGGCCCUCCCUCGGGAGGGUGUUAUAGCCUGCCGUACGAUACCCUGAUGGGGACCGAGGUUCGCGCUCCGCAAGGAUGCUGGCGUAAUGGUCAUCAGCGACCCGUCUUGAAACACGGACCAAGGAGUCGUCCAUUAGAGCGAGCGUUUGGGUGUAAAACCCGCACGCGUAAUGAAAGUGAAAUUAGGUGAGAGCUUCGGCGCAUCAUCGACCGAUCCUGAUGUUCUCGGAUGGAUUUGAGUAAGAGUUUUAACGGACGGACCCGAAAGACAGUGAACUAUGCUUGUAUAGGGUGAAGCCAGAGGAAACUCUGGUGGAGGCUCGCAGCGGUUCUGACGUGCAAAUCGAUCGUCAAAUAUGAGCAUGGGGGCGAAAGACUAAUCGAA